rnacentral:lncRNA from 1 species
AAAAAAAAAAGAAGUGCGGAUAUGGCCAGAGAGGCCUAAAGACAGAGCCUGGGCCUUGAGUUGGGAGUGGCCCUCGACAGUGGCACCCUAGUGCUAGUUAGAGGCUCCCACCCCACCUCCUGGACACCCCCCAAAUUCUUGUGGACCUAGGGCACCACCUGGCCACCAAGACAUGUGUCUCUCUGAACUGGGGGUAUCUUUUUGCUUUAAAUACUAAUACAUAUUUUCCCUGAUCACACAUGCUGGAUUCCAACUGCAGAAAACCAAGGGAAGUACCCAUUAGCAGCCACGUGCUAGCCAGCAGGGGCGUGUGCAGGGAGGGCUUUUAUGGACAGGAAACUUCCCGUAAAGGUCCAGACAGUAAAUUUUCAGCGUCUGCCUGGCAGAAGUAAUACAGGUAUGAAUGGGCACAGCUGGGUGCCAGUAAAGCUCUGCAAAAGCGAAGUGAGGCCCAGCACCCAUUCCUAUUAUGCUUUCCUCAGGGAGGGCCCCCUGGGGCUUGUUCCCAGCUAGCUGCCUCAUGAUGGGCGCGGCCCCACACAUCUCUGUGUCAUUUGCUCUGCAGAUAGACCUGGUAGCUCAAAAGCUCUGUCAUUUCCAUUUAUUUAUUUUUUUCUUUUUUUGAGACGGAGUCUCGCUCUGUCCCCCAGGCUGGAGUGCAGUGGCGCGAUCUCGGCUCACUGCAAGCUCCGCCUCCCGGGUUCACGCCAUUCUCCCGCCUCAGCCUCUCCAGUAGCUGGGACUACAGGCGCCCGCCACCACGCCCAGCUGAUUUUUUGUGUGUGUUUUUAGUAGAGAUGGGGUU